rnacentral:rRNA from 1 species
CCCUUAGAGUUUGAUCCUGGCUCAGGACGAACGCUGGCGGCGUGCCUAAUACAUGCAAGUCGAACGAAACUUUCUUACACCGAAUGCUUGCAUUCACCGUAAGAAGUUGAGUGGCGGACGGGUGAGUAACACGCGGGUAACCUGCCUAAAAGAAGGGGAUAACACUUGGAAACAGGUGCUAAUACCGUAUAUCUCUAAGGAACGCAUGAUCCUUAGAUGAAAGAUGGUUCUGCUAUCGCUUUUAGAUGGACCCGCGGCGUAUUAACUAGUUGGUGGGGUAACGGCCUACCAAGGUGAUGAUACGUAGCCGAACUGAGAGGUUGAUCGGCCACAUUGGGACUGAGACACGGCCCAAACUCCUACGGGAGGCAGCAGUAGGGAAUCUUCCACAAUGGACGCAAGUCUGAUGGAGCAACGCCGCGUGAGUGAAGAAGGUCUUCGGAUCGUAAAACUCUGUUGUUAGAGAAGAACACGAGUGAGAGUAAC